AGAGAGAGACAUGCGCGCAUAUCAAUAAGCGGAGGAAAAGAAACUAACUAGGAUUCCCUCAGUAACGGCGAGUGAAGCGGGAAGAGCUCAAAUUUGAAAUCUUCAAGGUUCUGACCUUGACGAAUUGUAGUUUAAAGAAGUGUUUUCUGUUGGAGUUUUGGUAAAAGUUCUUUGGAAUAGGACAUCAUAGAGGGUGAGAAUCCCGUAUUUGACCAUUAUUUCCAGCUUUGUGAUACACUUUCAAAGAGUCGGAUUGUUUGGGAAUGCAGUCCAAAAUGGGUGGUAAAUUUCAUCUAAAGCUAAAUAUUGGCGAGAGACCGAUAGCGAACGAGUACCGUGAGGGAAAGAUGAAAAGAACUUUGAAAAGAGAGUUAAACAGUACGUGAAAUUGUCAAAAGGGAAGCGUUUGACACCAGUGUUGUUUUCUCGAAAAUCAAUUAAAAAAGGCAGGAUUUUGUGUUGUAUUGACUUUAUCAGCUUUCUGCACUCUUUUCUUGUCUUUUUUAAUGCACUUUUCGUUUAACAAGUCAACAUCAAUUUCUUUUGUUGUAAAAGGGUCAUUGGAAGGUGGCUUUCUUUUCGGAGAAAGUGUUUAUAGCCUUUGGCCUCUGCAAUCGGAGAGAUUGAGGUCUGCAGCGUAGAUCCUUCGGGGUUAGAUACAUUUGUGCUAAGUUAUAGCCUUUCAUAGACAACUUGUUGACUAUGAUCAGUCAUGUAGCUUACUCGCUUAUGCUAUUUUACCUACGCUUAGGAUGUUGAUGUGAUACUGCGAGCA
rnacentral:rRNA from 1 species